CUCGAGGCCAGAUCUUUCCGGUUGAUCCCGCCGGAACUGACUGCUAUCGGAUUGAUACUAAGCCAUGCGAGUCAUUGUAGUAAUACAAGGCAGACGGCUCAGUAACGCGUAGUCAACCUAACCUAUGGACGGGAAUAACCUCGGGAAACUGAGUAUAAUGCCCGAUAGAACAUUCUGCCUGGAAUGGUUUAUGUUCCAAAUGAUUUAUCGCCGUAGGAUGGGACUGCGGCCUAUCAGUUUGUUGGUGAGGUAAUGGCCCACCAAGACUAUUACAGGUACGGGCUCUGAGAGGAGUAGCCCGGAGAUGGGUACUGAGACACGGACCCAGGCCCUAUGGGGCGCAGCAGGCGAGAAAACUUUGCAAUGUGCGAAAGCACGACAAGGUUAAUCCGAGUGGUUUCUGCUAAAGGAACCUUUUGUCGGUCCUAGAAACACCGAUGAAUAAGGGGUGGGCAAGUUCUGGUGUCAGCCGCCGCGGUAAAACCAGCACCUCAAGUGGUCAGGAUGAUUAUUGGGCCUAAAGCAUCCGUAGCCGGCUCUGUUAGUUUUCGGUUAAA
rnacentral:rRNA from 1 species